GUCACAGUAGGAUUAAUUUCUUACCUGUCAGCCCUUCGGGGCUUGACAAGACAUGAUGACAUUGGGAUAUGAUUCGUAUGAAUUAAAUUCCUCAGAGACCUCAGGAUUGCAACCCUUUGGAUCUCUUGUCUGAC